GAAAUUAUGGAAAGGCAUCACAUGCUUGCUUUUACCACAGGGCACACCCAUCAUUUACUUUUUAACACUUGGUUUUGACCCAGAUCAUUUUUCUUGUUCUUCUUCUUCUUGCUUGUAAAGACCUUUAAUCCUAAUCACAGGUUGGUGAGUGUUUUAGCUUUUAAUAAAGGGAAUAUUUUACAAUAUCACAACUAUGUUUAGGGCAAACCGUG
rnacentral:lncRNA from 1 species